rnacentral:rRNA from 1 species
AUUGAACGCUGGCGGCAGGCUUAACACAUGCAAGUCGAGCGGGGAAGGGUAGCUUGCUACCUGACCUAGCGGCGGACGGGUGAGUAAUGCUUAGGAAUCUGCCUAUUAGUGGGGGACAACAUUCCGAAAGGAAUGCUAAUACCGCAUACGCCCUACGGGGGAGAGCAGGGGAUCUUCGGACCUUGCGCUAAUAGAUGAGCCUAAGUCAGAUUAGCUAGUUGGCGGGGUAAAGGCCUACCAAGGCGACGAUCUGUAGCGGGUCUGAGAGGAUGAGCCGUCACACUGGUACGGAGACGCGGCCCAGACUCCUACGGGAGGCAGCAGUGGGGAAGACUGGACAAUGGGCGCAAGCCUGAUCCAGCCAUGCCGCGUGUGUGAAGAAGGCCUUUUGGUUGUAAAGCACUUUAAGCGAGGAGGAGGCUACUUGGAUUAAUACUCUAGGAUAGUGGACGUUACUCGCAGAAUAAGCACCGGCUAACUCUGUGCCAGCAGCAGCCGUAAUAC